AUUGAACGCUGGCGGCAGGCCUAACACAUGCACGUCGAACGAGUGGCGGACGGGUUAGUAAUUUCUGGGAAACUGCCUGAUGGAGUGGGAUAACUACUGGAAACGGUAGCUAAUACCGCCUACCCUCCGAUGUGCACAGAUGGGAUUAGCUUGUAGGUGGGGUAAAGGCUCACCUAGGCGACGAUCCCUAGCUGGUCUGAGAGUAUGACCAGCCACACUGGAACUGAGACACGGUCCAGACUCCUACGGGAGGCAGCAGUGGGGAAUAUUGCACAAUGGGCGCAAGCCUGAUGCAGCCAUGCCGCGUGUAUGAAGAAGGCCUUCGGGUUGUAAAGUACUUUCAGCGGGGAGGCGUUACCCGCAGAAGAAGCACCGGCUAACUCCGUGCCAGCAGCCGCGGUAAUUC
rnacentral:rRNA from 1 species